rnacentral:rRNA from 2 species
CUUUUGGGUGUGACUGCGUACCUUUUGUAUAAUGGGUCAGCGACUUAUAUUCUGUAGCAAGGUUAACCGAAUAGGGGAGCCGGAGGGAAACCGAGUCUUAAUUGGGCGUUAAGUUGCAGGGUAUAGACCCGAAACCCGGUGAUCUAGCCAUGGGCAGGUUGAAGGUUGGGUAACACUAACUGGAGGACCGAACCGACUAAUGUUGAAAAAUUAGCGGAUGACCUGUGGCUGGGGGUGAAAGGCCAAUCAAACCGGGAGAUAGCUGGUUCUCCCCGAAAGCUAUUUAGGUAGCGCCUCGUGAAUUCAUCUCCGGGGGUAGAGCACUGUUUCGGCUAGGGGGCCAUCCCGGCUUACCAACCCGAUGCAAACUGCGAAUACCGGAGAAUGUUAUCACGGGAGACACACGGCGGGUGCUAACGUCCGUCGUGAAGAGGGAAACAACCCAGACCGCCAGCUAAGGUCCCAAAGUCAUGGUUAAGUGGGAAACGAUGUGGGAAGGCCCAGACAGCCAGGAUGUUGGCUUAGAAGCAGCCAUCAUUUAAAGAAAGCGUAAUAGCUCACUGGUCGAGUCGGCCUGCGCGGAAGAUGUAACGGGGCUAAACCAUGCACCGAAGCUGCGGCAGCGACGCUGAUGCGUUGUUGGGUAGGGGAGCGUUCUGUAAGCCUGCGAAGGUGGCCUGUGAGGGUUGCUGGAGGUAUCAGAAGUGCGAAUGCUGACAUAAGUAACGAUAAAGCGGGUGAAAAGCCCGCUCGCCGGAAGACCAAGGGUUCCUGUCCAACGUUAAUCGGGGCAGGGUGAGUCGACCCCUAAGGCGAGGCCGAAAGGCGUAGUCGAUGGGAAACGGGUUAAUAUUCCCGUACUUGGUGUUACUGCGAAGGGGGGACGGAGAAGGCUAUGUUGGCCGGGCGACGGUUGUCCCGGUUUAAGCGUGUAGGUGUGUGUUCCAGGUAAAUCCGGUUCACUUUAACACUGAGGCGUGACGACGAGGCACUACGGUGCUGAAGCAACAAAUGCCCUGCUUCCAGGAAAAGCCUCUAAGCAUCAGGUAACAUCAAAUCGUACCCCAAACCGACACAGGUGGUCAGGUAGAGAAUACCAAGGCGCUUGAGAGAACUCGGGUGAAGGAACUAGGCAAAAUGGUGCCGUAACUUCGGGAGAAGGCACGCUGACACGUAGGUGAAGUGAUUUACUCACGGAGCUGAAGUCAGUCGAAGAUACCAGCUGGCUGCAACUGUUUAUUAAAAACACAGCACUGUGCAAACACGAAAGUGGACGUAUACGGUGUGACGCCUGCCCGGUGCCGGAAGGUUAAUUGAUGGGGUCAGCGCAAGCGAAGCUCCUGAUCGAAGCCCCGGUAAACGGCGGCCGUAACUAUAACGGUCCUAAGGUAGCGAAAUUCCUUGUCGGGUAAGUUCCGACCUGCACGAAUGGCGUAAUGAUGGCCAGGCUGUCUCCACCCGAGACUCAGUGAAAUUGAACUCGCUGUGAAGAUGCAGUGUACCCGCGGCAAGACGGAAAGACCCCGUGAACCUUUACUAUAGCUUGACACUGAACAUUGAGCCUUGAUGUGUAGGAUAGGUGGGAGGCUUUGAAGCGUGGACGCCAGUCUGCGUGGAGCCGACCUUGAAAUACCACCCUUUAAUGUUUGAUGUUCUAACGUGGACCCGUUACCCGGGUUGCGGACAGUGUCUGGUGGGUAGUUUGACUGGGGCGGUCUCCUCCUAAAGAGUAACGGAGGAGCACGAAGGUUGGCUAAUCCUGGUCGGACAUCAGGAGGUUAGUGCAAUGGCAUAAGCCAGCUUGACUGCGAGCGUGACGGCGCGAGCAGGUGCGAAAGCAGGUCAUAGUGAUCCGGUGGUUCUGAAUGGAAGGGCCAUCGCUCAACGGAUAAAAGGUACUCCGGGGAUAACAGGCUGAUACCGCCCAAGAGUUCAUAUCGACGGCGGUGUUUGGCACCUCGAUGUCGGCUCAUCACAUCCUGGGGCUGAAGUAGGUCCCAAGGGUAUGGCUGUUCGCCAUUUAAAGUGGUACGCGAGCUGGGUUUAGAACGUCGUGAGACAGUUCGGUCCCUAUCUGCCGUGGGCGCUGGAGAACUGAGGGGGGCUGCUCCUAGUACGAGAGGACCGGAGUGGACGCAUCACUGGUGUUCGGGUUGUCAUGCCAAUGGCACUGCCCGGUAGCUAAAUGCGGAAGAGAUAAGUGCUGAAAGCAUCUAAGCACGAAACUUGCCCCGAGAUGAGUUCUCCCUGAGACUUAGAGUCUCCUGAAGGAACGUUGAAGACGACGACGUUGAUAGGCCGGGUGUGUAAGCGCAGCGAUGCGUUGAGCUAACCGGUACUAAUGAACCGUGAGGCUUAACCUUACAACGCCGAAG